rnacentral:rRNA from 1 species
UACGAGGGGGGCAAAUGUUGUUCGGAAUCACUGGGCGUAAAGGGAGCGUAGGCGGGUUUCUAAGUCAGGUGUUUAAUCCCGGGGCCCAACCCCGGACAGGCACUUGAAACUGGGAAUCUUGAAUAGUGGAGAGGUCAGUGGAAUUGGGGGUGUAGCGGUGGAAUGCGUAGAUAUCGGGAGGAACACCAGUGGCGAAGGCGGUUGCCUGGGGCUUUGGCUGACGCUGAUGCGCGAAAGCGUGGGGAGCGAGUCCGG